CAAUAGCGUAUAUUAAAGCUGUUGCGGUUAAAAAGCUCGUAGUUGGAUUUCUGUCAAGGACAACUGGUCCGCCCUCCGGGUGAGCACAUAGUUUGGUCUUGACAUCUUGCUGGAAGCUGUUGCUGCACUUGGCUGUGUGGCGCAGUGUUCAGCACUUUCACUUUGAGGAAAUUGGAGUGUUUCAAGCAGGCACAUGCCUUUGGACACAGUAGCAUGGAAUAAUUAGAUUGGGCUUUUGCUCCAAUUUGUCGGUUUCUGGAGCUGAGGUGAGUAUUAAUGGGGAUUGUUGGGGGCAUCCGAAUUUAGCCGUCAGAGGUGAAAUUCUUGGAUCUGCUAAAGACGGACUACUGCGAAAGCAUUUGCCAAGGAUGUUUUCAUUGA
rnacentral:rRNA from 1 species